GAUUGAGGAGCCAGUUGCUGUGCUCUGUUCUGGCAAAAGAACAAGAUGGGUUGCAAGCCAGAAUGAUGAAUUCCACUUUUAACGUCGUCUCCGUGGCAUUCUGCCUAAAUGAUGGGCAUGGAAAUGGUGCUGAGGGAUGUGGGCUGAAUCGAGAACACAGGGACUUUUGUCUUCAGGGUCCCUAGAUGUUGAGAAGCUCUGGACUGAAGCUGUCACAAAAAUAGUGAGUAGUCUCCGUAGUCACUCCACUUAGCAUAAUAGAGAGUAGGACAGCUUUGUGACAUUUCUCAGGUUAUUUCCCCUGACCUCUCAUCAAUGCUGACGUUUUUGAUAAGAAGGAGUAUAGAGACUGCAGCCCUUUGGGUGGUUAUAGCUCGUUUAUUUACAGGCCUUAUAUUGACAGGCCUCAGAUUUCAUGCUCAGUACUAUAAAGGUUGAUUUUUAACCACCAAGAGGCAAAAGAAACAUGACAGGUCAGAGCAUAUUUUCUCACCUAUUCUGGCUUAAACGAUGGUACUUACCUGAUUUGUGGCUGUAUGUGAAAUGUUGGGUGAAAGAUUAGCUGCUAUAAAAAGGAUGUCAGGACGUGUAGAGAAUUUAGAGGACUUGGGGGAGAGAUGGAUGUCUGUUUUCUAACCCCUUAGUCAUGUUCAUUCUGAUGCCAGCAUAAACUCUAUUCUGAGAUGAUUAUAGAAAUAACUUUUGUCUUCAUUCGUUUGUGGGAAAUAAAUAAAAAUGAUAUAAAAGAAAUAUGAAUUAUGCCCAAGAGCUGUAAAUCUGUAAGACAGUGAAAACUUAACGCUGUAACUGACACUGCAGGAUCCCUUUAGUUUCCGAAGUGCAUUGCCAGGAGAAUAAAAAGAAAGAAAAUCUUCAUUUCUCCUCCCUCCACUAAAUCUGAGAGGGAGUUAUCUCACCUAUAGCCAGAUACCUUCCAUUAUCACAGUUGUGUUACCAUGGAAACCCAGGUCCAUCCUUUCUUUCUGUGAAAGAUGUUGGAAAAGGUGGUAUGAAGUGGGAAAUCCACUGUAUUCUGGGACUUCCUGACACCAGCAAGAAGCAAAUAUGCAGAGAAUUUAAUAGAACCAAAUUAGUAGAGGAUAUUUGUAAUGCGAGGGGUACUUUUCAACUGUAAAACCCUGAUUCCUAUUGCUUCUUAUUAAAGCCUGCAUGCCUCUGAUUAACCAUAAAGGGGAAGGGCACGUCAAGUACAUUUAGCACCUGUGAAACGCUGCUGGCAAUUAUAAGGAGAGCAGACGAUGGUUUCUUGCCCUCUGAGGCUCCUAAUACAGUUGAGAAUCUGAAAUAUAUAUGUGGAGUGGAAAGGAAGGGGCAAAAUAAACUUUGUUCUUCCUUUAAAAAUGUGAUAUGUCUCAGUGUUUUUGAAAAGAAAAGGAAUUAGAAUGCAGAAAUUAAGAGUAUGGGAACAACUCAAUAAAAGAAACUUAUGGGUGGACAGAGUAGAUGUUUCAAAAGGCCAUUUUAAUCAGAAAAAAAAUCUGAAAGAAAAUGCGUAAUGAUUAAAAUGUAGGCAGAAAAAAGAAAAA
ensembl:lncRNA